UGUAUGUUGACGUAUCUGAAAGGGAUACUUCUUCGGACAAUAUACAAGGUGCUGCAUGGUUGUCGUCAGCUCGUGCCGUGAGGUGUCGGGUUAAGUCCCAUAACGAGCGCAACCCCUAUCAUUAGUUGCCAUCAGGUCAAGCUGGGGACUCUAAUGAAACUGCCUACGCAAGUAGUGAGGAAGGUGGGGAUGACGUCAAGUCAUCAUGGCCCUUACGGCCUGGGCUACACACGUGCUACAAUGGUCGGUACAAAGGGUUGCCAAGCCGCGAGGUGGAGCUAAUCCCAUAAAACCGAUCGUAGUCCGGAUCGCAGUCUGCAACUCGACUGCGUGAAGUCGGAAUCGCUAGUAAUCGUGAAUCAGAAUGUCACGGUGAAUACGUUCCCGGGCCUU
rnacentral:rRNA from 1 species